CAAACAAGUCUACGACGAACUAAAGAUAGAUGAUGGUAUAUAAUUAAGCAGUUAAUAUUUAAUGGAUCAUCAACGUAUUAAGGUUCAAAGCAGUAUGCGAAUACUUGACCGAAUAUACGCGAUGAGAUCAACCAAAAGCAGCUCAGGAUGAAGACACACAAAUUGUGCAGAACUAUCCAUUUAACUCAAAAGCACCGACGGACAUUAUAAAUAUGUAGACAUAUUAUAAUGCAAUAGAUGAACCAGAAAAAAAUGAAAUCACAAUAGUUACUUACUCCAUUUAUUGAUUUAUUGAUUAUACUCGUACUGAUAUUAUAAAACUGACAAUGGUAAGAUGAAAAAACAUCCAAAUGUACUGUGAGGUGUCAUAGUGGCCAUCAAUUCUGAAAAAAAAAAUCAAAAUAUUUCUUAUGUAUCACAUUUAAGAAUGCAUUUAUAUGAUAUGUCACUGAUAUUGAACUUUUAUAAAAGGUUUGAGAUUUGUAUCGGAAGUCUUACAUAUAGCUCACAUGGUGCUCAAAUAUAGGAAUUAUUUGAAAGCAUUGCGUAUCUGAUACAAAAAGAUAUCUUAAGAUAUUAGGGUAUUUCAUAGCAAUCACACUAUUGAUAUACUUUGUCUAUGUUGAUACACUAGAUAAUUUUGUCGAAAAACAAAUGGAAUGAAAAACCAGUCGAUUACUUCUAUUUAUUUUUCAAAAAAAAAAAAAAAAAAAAAAAUUCAAUUAAAAAAUAUCUGUGAUAAGAUCAUGAAUAGCUGUGUAGACAUUUUUAUAUGCAAAACAAACAUACUUGAGUACAUUGUGUUCAAUAGAUUAUCUGAAUUAAAUACAUGCUAUAAUUUGA